rnacentral:rRNA from 1 species
AUUGAACGCUGGCGGCAGGCUUAACACAUGCAAGUCGAGCGGGGGAAGGUAGCUUGCUACCGGACCUAGCGGCGGACGGGUGAGUAAUGCUUAGGAAUCUGCCUAUUAGUGGGGGACAACAUCUCGAAAGGGAUGCUAAUACCGCAUACGUCCUACGGGAGAAAGCAGGGGAUCUUCGGACCUUGCGCUAAUAGAUGAGCCUAAGUCGGAUUAGCUAGUUGGUGGGGUAAAGGCCUACCAAGGCGACGAUCUGUAGCGGGUCUGAGAGGAUGAUCCGCCACACUGGGGCUGAGACACGGCCCAGACUCCUACGGUAGGCAGCAGUGGGGAAUAUUGGACAAUGGGGGGAACCCUGAUCCAGCCAUGCCGCGUGUGUGAAGAAGGCCUUAUGGUUGUAAAGCACUUUAAGCGAGGAGGAGGCUACUUUAGUUAAUACCUAGAGAUAGUGGACGUUACUCGCAGAAUAAGCACCGGCUAACUCUGUGCCAGCAGCCGCCGCAG